rnacentral:rRNA from 1 species
GGUGCCUACGGGACGCAGCAGUGAGGAAUAUUGGUCAAUGGGCUAAGGCCUGAACCAGCCAAGUCGCGUGAGGGAAGACGGUCCUAUGGAUUGUAAACCUCUUUUGUCGGGGAGCAACGAGGCCACGUGUGGCCGAAGUGAGAGUACCCGAAGAAAAAGCAUCGGCUAACUCCGUGCCAGCAGCCGCGGUAAUACGUAGGGAGCGAGCGUUAUCCGGAAUUAUUGGGUGUAAAGGGUGCGUAGACGGGAAAACAAGUUAGUUGUGAAAUCCCUCGGCUUAACUGAGGAACUGCAACUAAAACUAU